GUGAGGAAUUUUCCGCAAUGGGCGAAAGCCUGACGGAGCAAUGCCGCGUGAAGGAUGAAGGCCUAUGGGUUGUAAACUUCUUUUCUUAGAGAAGAAUAUUGACGGUAUCUGAGGAAUAAGCAUCGGCUAACUCUGUGCCAGCAGCCGCGGUAAUACGGAGGGUGCAAGCGUUAUCCGGAUUCACUGGGUUUAAAGGGUGCGUAGGCGGAUAAAUAAGUCAGUGGUGAAAUCAACGGGCUCAACCUGUUAACUGCCAUUGAUACUGUGUAUCUUGAAUAUGAGAGAGGUAGGCGGAAUGUUGCAUGUAGCGGUGAAAUGCUUAGAUAUGCUACGGAACACCGAUUGCGAAGGCAGCUUACUAUUUCGUAAUUGACGCUGAGGCACGAAAGCGUGGGUAGCGAACAGGAUUAGAAACCCGGGUAGUCC
rnacentral:rRNA from 1 species